GAUGAACGCUGGCGGCGUGCCUAAUACAUGCAAGUCGAACGAAACUUCUUUAUCACCGAGUGCUUGCACUCACCGAUAAAGAGUUGAGUGGCGAACGGGUAAGUAACACGUGGGCAACCUGCCCAAAAGGGGGGGAUAACACUUGGAAACAGGUGCUAAUACCGCAUAACCAUAGUUACCGCAUGGUAACUAUGUAAAAGGUGGCUAUACUACCGCUUUUGGAUGGGCCCGCGGCGCAUUAGCUAGUUGGUAGGGUAAAGGCUUACCAAGGCAAUGAUGCGUAGCCGAAUUGAGAGGUUGAUCGGCCACAUUGGGACUGAGACACGGCCCAAACUCCUACGGGAGGCAGCAGUAGGGAAUCUUCCACAAUGGGCGAAAGCCUGAUGGAGCAACGCCGCGUGGGUGAAGAAGGUCUUCGGAUCGUAAAACCCUGUUGUUAGAGAAGAAAGUGCGUGAGAGUAACUGUUCACGUUUCGACGGUAUCUAACCAGAAAGCCACGGCUAACUACGUG
rnacentral:rRNA from 1 species